rnacentral:misc_RNA from 1 species
UAAAGAAUGCUGUUGUUACUGUUCCUGCUUAUUUCAAUGACUCGCAGCGUCAAGCUACAAUAGACGCUGGUGUCAUUGUUGGCCUAAAUGUAAUGUGUAUUAUAAAUGAGCCCACUGCAGCUGCUAUUGUUUAUGGGCUUGACAAGAAAGCCAGUAGUUUUGGUAGGAAGAAUGUGCUUAUAUUUGAUCUAGGUGGUGGCACUUUUGAUGUUUCUCUUCUUACCAUUGAAAAGGGUACUUUUGAGGUGAAAUCCACAGCUGGAGAUGCCCAUUUAGGAGGGGAAGAUUUUGACAAU